UACGAGUGGCGCUAGUGUUACUCUUCAUGACUGGGCGUUAAGGGUGCGUAGGUUUAAUAAUGAGUUGUUAGUAUGAAAGCACUAUUUUGUAUAGGAUUCAUAAACAAUACAGUUAUUAUAAAAAUUAUUUAGAGGUUAGUGGAACUACUAGUAAUAGAACUGAAAAGCGGGAUUAAACUAGUAAGAACUCCAUAUGCGAAGGCGGCUUUCCAUAAAUAAUUCGACUGAGGCACUAAGGCAUGGGAAUCGAACGGG
rnacentral:rRNA from 1 species